rnacentral:misc_RNA from 1 species
CCGGUGGUUUGCUCGAAUGGCUCUGUUAAUGGUGGGCUGUUUUAUCUUUCUGUGGCAAAGGCACAAGGACUGAUCUGUGAAGCUAAUUAAUCUUCUUCAACGAGGGUCACAGAUCUGUCACUUUUGGAUGCUUACAGGCAAAGAUCUUUGAGCAACAAUUUGGUGAAAAAAUAAAAAAGCAACAGAGGAAGCAAGAAAAGGCAAGAAGAGAGACAAACAAGGAGAAAAAUAAAUUCUUUUAAGAGCUGCAC